UACCGGGGGCGCGGCCGGCGGCUCCCUCCUUCCCUCCCCGCGGAGGGUGUGGGGUGGCGGGAGGAGGAAGGGCGGCGCGGCCUCGCCUUCCUCCUCCUCCUCCUCCGGCGGCGGGGAGCGAGGAACGGGGAGGGGGGGGAGGGGAAGUUUCUGGCACCUUCUGGCUGGGUCGCCGGCGGGCGGAAGCGGUUGGGCUGCCGGCGGAGGCGGGCGCUGCGGCGGCGGGUGGCGGCGGGGCCGGUCCGUGGGGCAGCGCCAUGGCCAAGUGGGGACAGGGGGACCCGCGCUGGAUCGUGGAGGAGCGCGCGGACGCCACCAACGUCAACAACUGGCACUGGACGGAGCGGGACGCGACCAGCUGGUCGAAAAGCAAGCUGAAGGAGGUGCUGGUGGGGCUGGUGGUGGAGGGCGAGGCCGGGCGCUGCGAGAUCAGCGACCUGAAGCACGUGGAAGGCGAAGCGUCCUGCAACAGCCGCAAAGGGAAACUCAUCUUCUUCUACGAGUGGAAUCUGCGCCUCAGCUGGAAAGGUACAGUGAAAGAGUCUGGUGAGAAACAUAAGGGAUCUGUUGAAAUUCCUAACCUGUCAGAAGAAAAUGAGGUAGAUGAUACAGAGAUUAACGUUAGCAAAAAGAAGGGGGAAGGGGAUGUUCUGAAGGACCUUAUGAGAACUGAAGGAACCACAAAAGUCAGAGAGGCCCUGAGAGAUUACCUGAAAGCACUUAAAACAGAGUUUACCUUGGGAAUGAUUCUGCCUACAAAAGCUACUGUUGGUCAGGAGCUGGCUGCUGAGCGAAAACUAAGUGGGAACACCAUGCAAGAUUCUGUUUCACCACAGCCUUUGGAUAUAGUUGGCGUAAAAAUUCCAACAGUGAAAAUACUUAUGAGAGAAAUCUUCAACUCUCCAGCAGACGAACUUUACAGCAUCUUCACAACUAAAGAGUUGGUACAGAAGUUUUCUAAAUGUCCUGCUGUGAUUGAAGCUGAGAAAGGAGGCAAACUUCAGAUGUUUGAUGGUCGUGUCAGCGGUGAAUAUGCAGAAUUGGUCCCAAGCCAAAGAAUCGUCCUCAAGUGGAGGUGUAGAAGCUGGCCUGAGGAACAUUAUGCAACGGUUGCCUUGAAUUUCAAGGAUAUGGCUGCUCAAACGGAACUGCAGUUAGAGUGCAAAGGAGUUCCUGUCUCAAAUGAAGAUAGCACAAGACAAUGUUGGAAACAGCAGUAUUUUGAAGAAAUACGUAUCUUACUGCAGCAAUCCCAAGACAACAUGGAAUGAUAACAGCACUGUAGUUUUGUUAGGGCAUUACUCUUUGUACUUGGUUAACAUUUGGUUUUUUAAAAAAAAAAGUAAUUUAUUUGUGGGAAGAAUAAAGACCCACUUCUAUGAUACUGUAUAUAAUUUAAGCAUUAUUUAUGGAUUUUUUUAGUGAAUGAGGUGGCGAGUAGGCCAGAGUACGUAUAUAAACAGCUUUACUUGGGGAAACUGAUCUCUUUUCUGCUUGCCUGCAACUUCAGAGAGUAAUAAUGAUUCAGCUGCAGUAAACUACCACCGUCAUACGUAGGGCUCCAACAUAUGGCUACCUUACCACACAUAAACUUACAUCAUGCAGAAGAGAAAGAUGCGCUGCUCUUUUCUACAGGCAAGGCUUUCCCUGAAAAGUUUGCAGUCAGUUAUCCCCUUUGAACUUAGGUGAGGUUUGUUGUAGUAACAAGAACAAACACCUCACAGUGACUGGAGAGGCGCACAGGCUGGUUACCAAGCGCUUGUGUUUUAGGUGUCCAGGUGGAGAACAGCCCCUUGAGAAAGGGCAUGUUUUAGCUGAAUGCUGAAAAUUUAGUUACCUUGUUUGGUAAAUAUUCCAGGACAAAGAGCCUAACAUUUUGAAUACAAAAAUGAUUCUCGGCUAGACUAGUAUUAGUUGACAAAGGGGCAACUGUUAAAUAACAAUAGAAAAUCUCAGUUUAAGACGGAGAUCAGGCUAGGCAGUUUUGUGUGUAGAUGAUCCAAGAGAUUUUGUGACAGUUUAUUAUCUGAGAGUAGGCUGUUACAUCUAAUCACAAGUUUCUUCAAACAGUGUAUCUUACAGCCCUAGUACUUCUCUGGGAAGUAUGCCUCACCAGGCUUCCCUCCUGACUAAAAACCCUUUCCAUCUUAGGUCACAAGUGCCCACCACUUGCGUGUUUUGCUAGUCUGAACUUUCUUGUCUCCUUCCACUAGCAGGAGUAUUCAACUGGACCAAGUGCCAAUCAUCAGUGUUAAAAAAGAAGCGACUUACUUGUGUUUCCGGUGUUGCACCACUCGCUUCCCGGUGGGGGACAGCCAGAGCCCCCAGAAAGCUCUCUGCAAGGAGGAACCCUUUAAGGGAAAGGGUAGUGAACUGAAGCUGAUGUAUCUCCUUUAGCGUCCUUCUUGUUCCCUCGUGCCUGCACAGCUGUAAGUUUGAUAACAUGUAUACAAGCUUUUGUAAGUUAAAAACGUGCAGUGCCUACCUUUUCAUCCUGCUUGUAGGCCAGCGGAGCGUAAGAAAUGGGCAGUCAGCUUUCACAGCCACGAAGGGCCCCCGAUGACUGUCCCUGCAGGCAAAAAAAGGACACUUUUUCUUUUUGCUUCACCAGCGCUCCUGCACUGUUCCCGUCUUUACUGUGCAUGCUGGAACUUAGCUAACAUUGGCACUGUAUUGCUGACCCGAAAGUUCAAUUUCUGCACACAGUUAUUGUGGAAUUCAGAAAAAAUUCAGAGGAGUUAAUUUUUCUUGUAGCAGGUAGCCUUCAGGAGAAUUUCUAGCACUAUUGGCCAGCCAUAGCCUAAAGAGGACAGCCAUCAUCCCAGAGAGGCAAAAGAAUUUAUUCUUGAGUGGUAAAACAUCUCAUAUUCCUCAUAGAGGUCAAUAAAACUCCUCUCCAAGAGUUUAAUAAAAUCAAAGAAUGUUAAACUACUUGUUACCCUCAGUCCUUGAGCUGGGUGGAGCAGAGUUAGAAAUUACAUAUCAUUUAGAAACAGGAUGAUGAUGACAUAGUAGUAUCACACAUAAAUCAUACAGUAUCAUAUAUAAUGAAAGGAUACUAUCAUAAAUGUAGUUGUUUUCUAAACAGGUCUCUGUGAAGAGUUCCCUAUCCUAAAAUUUUCUCAAUAUAACAAAAGAGAAAACGGCAGGAGUGGAGAUACACAUAAAGAGUUUGUUGGAAAUAUGCUCAAAUUUAUUGGAAUUCACGUGUUUUAAGGAGACUAAUGAGCACAGAAGACAUUCCAGGGAGGGUGAGCAGCAUGAAAGAAGCAACAAAGCAGCAAGAGGAAAAGGUAGUUUUGUUUGUGAUAGAGCGCUUUCAUAAUGUAGUAAAAUUCUGGACAACAACCUGGUCUCUGAGAAAGCCAAAAAAAAAAAAAAAGUAAAAGCGAAAGACAAGCUUUGUAAGACUGUAGCCAAAGUAACAGUUUGAGCCCAGGAGGUGGAGGCGGGCUGUAAAGGACUAUGCACAGUGAGGACACUGGAAAGAGAAGGUAUUUUAAAAGCUUAAUUUUGAAGAGAUUAUAAUGAGAGGUGGGACUUUCAGGAGGAAAUGUAUAACAAUUAAAUGAGAGGUGGGGUGAGCUGUGGAAGAGAAUAAAGGCUUUAAGAGACUGAGGAAGCCAAGUUAAAGGUGGGGUUUUCAAAGACAGGGAUAAAAAGAAAAAAAAAAAAAGCAUUCUUGAAGGCAAAGAGAUAUGCACCAGAAAA